GAUGAACGCUGGCGGCGUGCCUAAUACAUGCAAGUCGAGCGAACAGACGAGGAGCUUGCUCCUCUGACGUUAGCGGCGGACGGGUGAGUAACACGUGUAUAACCUACCUAUAUGACUGGGAUAACUUCGGGAAACCGGAGCUAAUACCGGAUAAUAUAUUGAACCGCAUGGUUCAAUAGUGAAAGACGGUUUUGCUGUCACUUAUAGAUGGAUCCGCGCCGCAUUAGCUAGUUGGUAAGGUAACGGCUUACCAAGGCGACGAUGCGUAGCCGACCUGAGAGGGUGAUCGGCCACACUGGAACUGAGACACGGUCCAGACGCCUACGGGAGGCAGCAGUAGGGAAUCUUCCGCAAGGGGCGAAAGCCUGACGGAGCAACGCCGCGUGAGUGAUGAAGGUCUUCGGAUCGUAAAACUCUGUUAUUAGGGAAGAACAAAUGUGUAAGUAACUAUGCACGUCUUGACGGUACCUAAUCAGAAAGCCACGGCUAACUACGUG
rnacentral:rRNA from 1 species